AGAAUUAUGUUGGCUUUGGGCUUAGCAUAGAUAGCUUUUGCAAUGUUGAGGUAUGUCGUUCAGUCACUUUUAUAUAAACAUUUACUUCUAGCUACUUUCUAGGCUGCACUUUUGAGGCCCAUGGCAAUGAAUAAGGAAACUUGAUAGACCAGAAAAGUGAGGACUGCAGGACAACAGAAUAGUCAUUUUGAGGAUGGGAGACUGGGACAAGUGAUGAGAUGGUAUUCAAUUCUCAAGAAAAGAGCAGAGAGGAAGAAUAGCAGGUUUGGGAACAAUGGGCAAUGUCAUUUUGGACAUGCUAUAUCUCAAGUGAUUAUACAGCAUCCAGAGGAAUUUGUCCAUAAUUUACUGGAUAUAAAAGCCUGCAGAUGGGAGAGAAGUAUGAGCUGAAUUUUUGGCCUUAUGGAAAUACAGAGGCAAAUUGAAUUUAAGAUCACCCAGAGACCAUGGGGAGAAAACAAGAGAUCUGGAGGCAUGUGGUGGACAACAUUGAGUAAUACCAUCAAGUAUCCCUCCAACAUGGAGCUUGGAAAGUAUAGGGAAGGAGAAGAUAUCGUGUCCUCUCUUCCCACAUCUUCCUGUAGUUUCAUCUUCCACGAAGACAGCAGCUAGAUGUUGCUCUUUGCUAUUGCUAGAAAAAGAGCAAGAAAGCCAAGUGUGGUGGCCUCAGACUCUAUACUUAAAACAAGUCUAUGUGAUCUAUAUCCAACAAGAAAAAACUCAAGACAAAAACAUGUAAUUGUAAUGAUAGUGCCCAGAAAUAUAAAAAGCUCAUUGAUGCUUCCAAAUUAUUCAUUGUUUUGAAUUAACUGAGUGAUGAUUAAGAUGUUGAUUAAUGAUGAACAUUGUUUUAAAGCUCCAAGACAUGGAAGAAGUAAGUAGUUUGCACUGUGUAUCUUUGUCAGCUCACCGAUUUCAAGGCUAAUCUACACUAUAUGGGUUUCCCUGGGAAACUAGAGCAAACAAUAUGGGCUGCCCUCGUAUCCACAAACAUUUACUGGAAAACCCUUGAGUCUCCAACAAUGUGUCAGGUGUUCUGAUAGAACCCUUGAGCCAUUUGAACUGUAGAAGGCUCCCAGAGAAGUACUUUUAAGUCACACAAAUGAGUAAUGGUAUCCAGGUAUGUAAAGACUUCAGGCAAAGGCCAACCUUGUCCUGUUAAUGGAGAAGCCCAGAGCCUUGGUAAGUCACGAGUAUCUAUAUGAUUAGAUGUCCUAGAAUGAUUUACCUAUAGAGAAAAGAGAGCAACAGAGCAGUCCCUGCUGACAAUUGGGCCCACUGGUGCUGCAGAUGGUGUGAAAAAGGUUGGAAAGUUGGAAGGAAGCUGGGAACUGUAGUGAGAGUAGCCUCUCUGGAGUACAAGAUUUUUUUCCACCAGGCUGGAUAGCUUUCACAUUACUGGCCCUAGAACAGUUUCUGUAAUCCUCUGCCUUAAGAAUAAGGAAAGAAGAUUAUCUCAUUUGAUCUUUUUUUCCCUUUUUUAUUGAUGAAUUAUAUUUAUAUAUAUUUACGGGGUGCAAAUUGAUGGAAUGAUUAUUUCAGACAAAUUCAUAUUUGCUUUAUAAAGAAUAGAUUUCAACAUUCCACCUUUCAAAAUGAAAAGUACAACUUCAUUUAUUUAUUUAACAAAUAUCUAUUAAGUACUAAGUUACCUAUAACAACUAAUAUAUGGUACACAGUCUUUGCUCAUAUACUCAUGUCCUAUAGGACACCCCCUGAUGCUCUUCCUGUGGGAACGAGUGUUUACCUCACUAAGACCAAACUUACAUCUAUGACUUUCUUUUACCAUAUCUAUGUCACAUCUAGGCAAAAGUUUGGAGAACUACUGUGUAGUUUUGUAAUUGCUUUUUUUCUCCCUGCCUCAAAUAUGGAGAAUCCCAGGUCAAUUCAAAUCUAACCUCCUAAUUACCACAGUGCCUUAAAGGAAAAUCCUAGAUUCACAUUGUAUGGAAGUCAAAAAGAAUUUCACAGGUUAAACAUCCAUUAUUACCCUGAUAAGAAGCACCAUAAAAGCUGAGUGGAUUCUGGCCUUUGAGUUUUGAGUAAGAGAAAGAGGAAACUGAUGAUUUAAAAAAAGGAAUGAGAAACUAAGAAAACUCAUGUGACUCCUCCUGAAACAAAGACUCAAUUAAGAAUUCUCUCCCUAACCUCUCCUUGCCUCGAAGCUUUGAAAGCCUCUUGCAGAAUUUUGUUUUGUUAAAACUACAGGUUGAAGCACAAACCCAAGGUGGACCCUCUGGAUGGGGAACAAUAAACUUUUGGGCAUUUCAGAGUCAGAAAAUUUUGACUCACCUGGAAACUGUGAGCACUGAGCAGGAUGAAGCCGUGAUUCUUAUCUCCUAAAGAGUUUCACAGUCAUCAAUGCCCAGAGUAAGCUGAUGAACUGGGAGUAGGUGACCUUAAUAGAUAUAACUGUGUAUGCGCUCAUUGUACCAUGAAAUUAAAUUUUAAAUCUGAA